rnacentral:rRNA from 1 species
GGGUUGUGAGGUUAAGCGAAUAAGCGUACACGGUGGAUGCCUAGGCAAUCAGAGGCGAUGAAGGACGUGCUAAUCUGCGAAAAGCGUCGGUAAGGUGAUAUGAACCGUUAUACCCGACGAUAUCCGAAUGGGGAAACCCAGUAUCCAAUGGAUACUAUCAUUAACUGAAUCCAUAGGUUAAUGAGGCGAACCGGGAGAACUGAAACAUCUCAGUACCCCGAGGAAAAGAAAUCAACCGAGAUUCCCCUAGUAGCGGCGAGCGAACGGGGAGCAGCCCAGAGUCUUAAUCAAUAGCAGUGUCAGGAGAACGGUCUGGAAAGUCCGGCAGUAAAGGGUGAUAGCCCCGUAUCUGAAGAUGCUGUUAUUGUGAACUCGACGAGUAGGGCGGGACACGUGUUAUCCUGUCUGAAUAUGGGGGGACCAUCCUCCAAGGCUAAAUACUCCUGAUUGACCGAUAGUGAACCAGUACCGUGAGGGAAAGGCGAAAAGAACCCCGGCGAGGGGAGUGAAAAAGAACCUGAAACCGUGUACGUACAAGCAGUAGGAGCCUCUUUAUGGGGUGACUGCGUACCUUUUGUAUAAUGGGUCAGCGACUUAUAUUCUGUAGCGAGGUUAACCGUAUAGGGGAGCCGUAGGGAAACCGAGUCUUAACUGGGCGAAUGAGUUGCAGGGUAUAGACCCGAAACCCGGUGAUCUAUCCAUGGGCAGGUUGAAGGUUGGGUAACACUAACUGGAGGACCGAACCGACUAAUGUUGAAAAAUUAGCGGAUGACUUGUGGAUGGGGGUGAAAGGCCAAUCAAACCGGGAGAUAGCUGGUUCUCCCCGAAAGCUAUUUAGGUAGCGCCUCGUGAAUUCAUCUUCGGGGGUAGAGCACUGUUUCGACUAGGGGGUCAUCCCGACUUACCAACUCGAUGCAAACUGCGAAUACCGAAGAAUGUUAUCACGGGAGACACACGGCGGGUGCUAACGUCCGUCGUGAAGAGGGAAACAACCCAGACCGCCAGCUAAGGUCCCAAAGUCAUGGUUAAGUGGGAAACGAAGUGGGAAGGCUCAGACAGCCAGGAUGUUGGCUUAGAAGCAGCCAUCAUUUAAAGAAAGCGUAAUAGCUCACUGGUCGAGUCGGCCCGCGCGGAAGAUGUAACGGGGCUAAACCAUGCACCGAAGCUGCGGCAGCGACACGUAGUGUUGUUGGGUAGGGGAGCGUUCUGUAAGCCUGCGAAGGUGUACUGUGAGGUAUGCUGGAGGUAUCAGAAGUGCGAAUGCUGACAUAAGUAACGAUAAUGCGGGUGAAAAACCCGCACGCCGGAAGACCAAGGGUUCCUGUCCAACGUUAAUCGGGGCAGGGUGAGUCGACCCCUAAGGCGAGGCUGAAAAGCGUAGUCGAUGGGAAACGGGUUAAUAUUCCCGUACUGGUGGUAACUGCGAUGGGGGAACGGAGAAGGCUAGGUUGUCCGGGCGACGGUCGUCCCGGUUCAAGCAGGUAGGCAGAGUGAUUAGGCAAAUCCGGUCACUUAAUGCUGAGAUGUGAUGACGAACCACUAAGGUGGUGAAGCAAUUGAUGCCCCGCUUCCAGGAAAAGCCUCUAAGCUUCAGGUUACCAACAAUCGUACCCCAAACCGACACAGGUGGUCAGGUAGAGAAUACUCAGGCGCUUGAGAGAACUCGGGUGAAGGAACUAGGCAAAAUGGUGCCGUAACUUCGGGAGAAGGCACGCUGGCGGUAGGUAAAGUCCCUUGCGGACGGCGCUGAAGCCAGUCGAAGAUACCAGCUGGCUGCAACUGUUUAUUAAAAACACAGCACUGUGCAAACACGAAAGUGGACGUAUACGGUGUGACGCCUGCCCGGUGCUGGAAGGUUAAUUGAUGGGGUUAGCCGUAAGGCGAAGCUCCUGAUCGAAGCCCCAGUAAACGGCGGCCGUAACUAUAACGGUCCUAAGGUAGCGAAAUUCCUUGUCGGGUAAGUUCCGACCUGCACGAAUGGCGUAAUGAUGGCCAGGCUGUCUCCACCCGAGACUCAGUGAAAUUGAACUCGCUGUGAAGAUGCAGUGUACCCGCGGCAAGACGGAAAGACCCCGUGAACCUUUACUAUAGCUUGACACUGAACAUUGAGCCUUGAUGUGUAGGAUAGGUGGGAGGCUUUGAAGUGUGGACGCCAGUCUGCAUGGAGCCAACCUUGAAAUACCACCCUUUAACGUUUGAUGUUCUAACCUAGGCCCAUAAACUGGGUCGGGGACCGUGUCUGGUGGGUAGUUUGACUGGGGCGGUCUCCUCCUAAAGAGUAACGGAGGAGCACGAAGGUUGGCUAAGCAUGGUCGGACAUCAUGCGGUUAGUGCAAAGGCAUAAGCCAGCUUGACUGCGAGAGUGACGGCUCGAGCAGGUACGAAAGUAGGUCUUAGUGAUCCGGUGGUUCUGAAUGGAAGGGCCAUCGCUCAACGGAUAAAAGGUACUCCGGGGAUAACAGGCUGAUACCGCCCAAGAGUUCAUAUCGACGGCGGUGUUUGGCACCUCGAUGUCGGCUCAUCACAUCCUGGGGCUGAAGUAGGUCCCAAGGGUAUGGCUGUUCGCCAUUUAAAGUGGUACGCGAGCUGGGUUUAGAACGUCGUGAGACAGUUCGGUCCCUAUCUGCCGUGGGCGUUGGAAGAUUGAGAGGGGUUGCUCCUAGUACGAGAGGACCGGAGUGAACGCACCACUGGUGUUCGGGUUGUCAUGCCAAUGGCAUUGCCCGGUAGCUAAGUGCGGAAGAGAUAACCGCUGAAAGCAUCUAAGCGGGAAACUUGCCUCGAGAUGAGUCUUCCCUGUCGCUUUAAGCGACCUAAAGGAACGUUUAAGACUAAGACGUUGAUAGGCUGGGUGUGUAAGCGUAGCGAUACGUUGAGCUAACCAGUACUAAUGAACCGUGAGGCUUAACCUGACAACACCGAAAGUGUUUUG